rnacentral:rRNA from 1 species
AGUCGAACGAGAAAGUGGAGCAAUCCAUGAGUACAGUGGCGUACGGGUGAGUAACACGUGGGUAAUCUACCUUUUAGUGGGGAAUAACCAGGGGAAACUCUGGCUAAUACCGCAUAAGCCUGAGAAGGGAAAGCAGCAAUGCGCUGAAAGAGGAGCCCGCGGCCGAUUAGCUAGUUGGUGGGGUAAGAGCCCACCAAGGCAGAGAUCGGUAGCCGGCCUGAGAGGGCACACGGCCACACUGGCACUGAAACACGGGCCAGACUCCUACGGGAGGCAGCAGUGGGGAAUCUUGCACAAUGGGGGAAACCCUGAUGCAGCGACGCCGCGUGAGCGAUGAAGCCCUUCGGGGUGUAAAGCUCUUUCGUCAGGGACGAUAAUGACGGUACCUGGAGAAGCAGCUGCGGCUAACUACGUGCCAGCAGCCGCGGUAAUACGUAGGCAGCAAGCGUUGUUCGGAGUUACUGGGCGUAAAGGGUGUGUAGGCGGUUCUUUAAGUUUGGUGUGAAAUCUCCCGGCUCAACUGGGAGGGUGCGCCGAAUACUGAGGGACUAGAGUACGGGAGAGGAAAGUGGAAUUCCUGGUGUAGCGGUGAAAUGCGUAGAUAUCAGGAGGAACACCGGUGGUGUAGACGGCUUUCUGGACCGUAACUGACGCUGAGACACGAAAGCGUGGGUAGCAAACAGGAUUAGAUACCCUGGUAGUCCACGCCCUAAACGAUGCAUAUUUGGUGUGGGCAGUUCAUUCUGUCCGUGCCCGGAGCUAACGCGUUAAAUAUGCCGCCUGGGGAGUACAGUCGCAAGGCUG